UACGAAGGGGGCUAGCGUUGCUCGGAAUUACUGGGCGUAAAGGGCGCGUAGGCGGAUAUUUAAGUUGGGGGUGAAAUCCCGGGGCUCAACCUCGGAAUUGCCUUCAAAACUGGAUAUCUUGAGUUCGGGAGAGGUGAGUGGAACUCCGAGUGUAGAGGUGAAAUUCGUAGAUAUUCGGAAGAACACCGGUGGCGAAGGCGGCAUCCUGGACCAACACUGACACUGAGGAGCGAAAGCCAGGGGAGCAAACGGG
rnacentral:rRNA from 1 species